rnacentral:rRNA from 1 species
AUUGAACGCUGGCGGCAGGCCUAACACAUGCAAGUCGAGCGGUAGAGAGGUGCUUGCAUCUCUUGAGAGCGGCGGACGGGUGAGUAAUGCCUAGGAAUCUGCCUAGUGGUGGGGGAUAACGUUCGGAAACGGACGCUAAUACCGCAUACGUCCUACGGGAGAAAGCGGGGGAUCUUCGGACCUCGCGCCAUUAGAUGAGCCUAGGUCGGAUUAGCUAGUUGGUGAGGUAAUGGCUCACCAAGGCGACGAUCCGUAACUGGUCUGAGAGGAUGAUCAGUCACACUGGAACUGAGACACGGUCCAGACUCCUACCGGGAGGCAGCAGUGGGGAAUAUUGGACAAUGGGCGAAAGCCUGAUCCAGCCAUGCCGCGUGUGUGAAGAAGGUCUUCGGAUUGUAAAG